rnacentral:lncRNA from 1 species
AAAUAAUUAAAGAAAUAGUAACAUAUCGCUGUGAAAUGUGAAACGAUUUCAGAAAAAAAAUAAGCUUGCACAAAAAUACUCAAAAGGUCAAAUAAACAAUAAGGUACAAUUUGAGAGUGCUCGCAGUAACUGUCAGCUACUUAAAAGCUAAACACAAUUAACAAUAAAACAUCAUGCACCAGACUAAAACCAACUAAAACACAUCCCAGGGAUUUGGUAUUUUCACGUCAUGGCCUGGACAGUCAAAGAAGAUAUGACUUGUGCCAUGCCAAAAAUAAGUGUAUCGACAGGUAGUUAUGAGUUAGCCCUUUUAUAGAUUCAAAUGAAC